rnacentral:lncRNA from 10 species
AUUUCUUCUUUGACUUAUUAGUUAUUUAAAAGUAUGUUGUUUCAGAGGCAGGAUGACACAGUGUGAGUAAAACUUGACCAGUCACUGUUCACUUUGAGACAGAAGGGACCAGCCAAGAAUUGUGAAUAGUGUACAGAAGCUCUAAAAGCCGUCGAUAUAUAGCUAAGGAUGAUAACAAGCACAACAAGGACUUACAGCAUUUGCUUUGCACCAGACACCAUCUAAAACACUUCACAAAUAUUAACUCAAAGGAACCUAUCAUUUCCACUGCUCAAAAUUACUCCUGAAGGGAUGAGGACACCAGGAUAUGCCACCGGACCACUGAAGGAAUGGUGAUGGUAUGAAGAAAGUAUUUUUAAUGAGCAGAGCCAUUGUUUGCUCUGCUCUGUCCUCACCCCUCAAGAGAAUUUCCCUUAUUAUUAUGAAAACUUUUUAUCUUAAAAGAUAUUACAUGUUAAUGGAACUGUCGUUUAACAAAUGUUUUAUAAGUGUACCAAUCAAGCACAUUGUCGAAAUAAAAGAUAUGAAAUAAGUGAAAAAAA